rnacentral:rRNA from 1 species
UACGGAGGGUGCGAGCGUUAAUCGGAAUUACUGGGCGUAAAGCGCGCGUAGGCGGUUUGUUAAGUCAGCUGUGAAAGCCCCGGGCUCAACCUGGGAACUGCAGUUGAUACUGGCCGACUGGAGUGCGAGAGAGGGAGGUAGAAUUCCAUGUGUAGCGGUGAAAUGCGUAGAUAUAUGGAGGAAUACCGGUGGCGAAGGCGGCCUCCUGGCUCGACACUGACGCUGAGGUGGCGAAAAGCGUGGGGGAGCAAAC